rnacentral:rRNA from 1 species
CCCGAAAGGGUUGGGUGCCCGCAAGGGAGCGUGGAGACAGGUGGUGCAUGGCUGUCGUCAGCUCGUGUCGUGAGAUGUUGGGUUAAGUCCCGCAACGAGCGCAACCCUCACCCCUUGUUGCCACCGGGUAAAGCCGAGCACUCUAGGGGAACUGCUAGCGUUAAGCUGGAGGAAGGCGGGGAUGACGUCAAGUCAUCAUGCCCCUUACGCCCUGGGCUACACACGUGCUACAAUGGCCGGUACAAAGGGAUGCAAGACCGCGAGGUGGAGCUAACCCCAAAAAACCGGUCUAAGUUCAGAUUGCAGUCUGCAACUCGACUGCAUGAAGGAGGAAUCGCUAGUAAUCGCGCAUCAUCACGGCGCGGUGAAUACGUUCCCGGGCCUUGUACACACCGCCCGUCACACCACGAAAGCCGG